AACGCGAAAGGGGAGCAAUCCCUGAGUAGAGUGGCAAACGGGUGAGUAACACGUGGGUGACCUGCCUUCGAGUGGGGGAUAACGUCCCGAAAGGGACGCUAAUACCGCAUGACAUCCUGCUCUUGGACGAGCGGAAAUCAAAGCCGGGGAUCGCAAGACCUGGCGCUUGGAGAGGGGCCCGCGUCUGAUUAGCUAGUUGGUAGGGUAAUGGCCUACCAAGGCAACGAUCAGUAUCCGGCCUGAGAGGGCGGACGGACACACUGGGACUGAGACACGGCCCAGACUCCUACGGGAGGCAGCAGUGGGGAAUUGUUCGCAAUGGGCGCAAGCCUGACGACGCAACGCCGCGUGGAGGAUGAAGAUCUUCGGGUCGUAAACUCCUGUCGAGCGGGAAGAAUUCCUGCCCGGCUAACAUCCGGGUAGGUUGACGGUACCGCUAAAGGAAGCCCCGGCUAACUCCGUGCCAGCAGCCGCGGUAAUACGGGGGGGGCAAGCGUUGUUCGGAAUUACUGGGCGUAAAGGGCUCGUAGGCGGCCAACUAAGUCAGACGUGAAAUCCCCAGGCUCAACCUGGGAACUGCGUCUGAUACUGAUUGGCUUGAAUCCGGGAGAGGGAUGCAGAAUUCCAGGUGUAGCGGUGAAAUGCGUAGAUUUCUGGAGGAAUACCGGUGGCGAAGGCGGCAUCCUGGACCGGCAUUGACGCUUAGGAGCGAAAGCCAGGGGAGCAAACGGGAUUAGAUACCCCGGUAGUCCUGGCCCUAACCGAUGAAUGCUUGGUGUAC
rnacentral:rRNA from 1 species